rnacentral:lncRNA from 1 species
CUCCCGAGUAGCUGGGACUACAGGCGACCGCCAUGACGCCCGGCUAAAUUUUUGUGUUUUUAGUAGAGACGGGGUUUCACCGUGUUAGCCAGGAUGGUCUCGAUUUCCUGACCUCGGGAUCCACCCGCCUCGGCCUCCCAAAGUGCUGGGAUUACAGGUGUGAGCCACCGCGCCCGGCAGAUAUAUCUUAUUUUUAAAAUCCACAUUAUUGAGUAAAAUCUCACAGUGGAAGGCAUGAGAUCCUGGCUUUGCCAGGCAAAAUUGGACCUGGAAGUAAGCCAAGUGAGGCUGCAGCAGCGGAGGGUCAACCUUCUGCACAGAGCAGCAGUGGAAGUGGUCAUCUUUGGAGGAAAACAUGGAGGCUGCUGUGUCCAGUUCUGAAUCUGUGAUGGUGGUGUAACAUGGCUAGUACUUCGAAAACUUUGAAGAGCCCUUAGUGAUGCUGUUUGCAGCCCUUCAGUCCUAUUCAACACCUCCAAAGGAAAUGAAGCUGAAACUACAGCUCAGACAAGUUGAGAGACUUGGCCAAGAUGAAGAGGGAGAUGAAAAAGACAUGGCUUUCUAACAAGGAGAAGACUGAGCUCCAAACAAGUCAUAAUCCUAGAGACAGGUACCUGGGCAAGGU